CCUACGGGAGGCAGCAGUGAGGAAUAUUGGUCAAUGGACGAGAGUCUGAACCAGCCAAGUAGCGUGAAGGAUGACUGCCCUAUGGGUUGUAAACUUCUUUUAUAUGGGAAUAAAAUGUUCCACGUGUGGGCUUUUGUAUGUACCAUAUGAAUAAGGAUCGGCUAACUCCGUGCCAGCAGCCGCGGUAAUACGGAGGAUCCGAGCGUUAUCCGGAUUUAUUGGGUUUAAAGGGAGCGUAGGUGGAGUGUUAAGUCAGUUGUGAAAGUUUGCGGCUCAACCGUAAAAUUGCAGUUGAAACUGGCAGUCUUGAGUACAGUAGAGGUGGGCGGAAUUCGUGGUGUAGCGGUGAAAUGCUUAGAUAUCACGAAGAACUCCGAUUGCGAAGGCAGCUCACUGGACUGCAACUGACACUGAGGCUCGAAAGUGUGGGUAUCAAACAGGAUUAGAUACCCUUGUAGUC
rnacentral:rRNA from 1 species